GACAGAGGGUGCAAACGUUGUUCGGAAUUACUGGGCGUAAAGCGUGUGUAGGCGGCCGUGCAAGUCGGAUGUGAAAUCCCCGGGCUCAACCCGGGGAGGGUCGUGGCAAACCGGCGGGCUUGAGGCCGGUAGAGGUGGGUGGAACUCCUGGUGGAGUGGUGAAAUGCGUAGAGAUCAGGAAGAACACCCGUGGCGAAGGCGGCCCACUGGGCCGGUACUGACGCUGAGGCGCGAAGGCGUGGGGAGCGAACGGG
rnacentral:rRNA from 1 species